AUUGAACGCUGGCGGCAUGCCUUACACAUGCAAGUCGAACGGCAGCAUGAACUAGCUUGCUAGAUUGAUGGCGAGUGGCGAACGGGUGAGUAAUACAUCGGAACGUGCCCUGUAGUGAGGGAUAACUAGUCGAAAGAUUAGCUAAUACCGCAUACGACCUGAGGGUGAAAGCGGGGCACCGCAAGGCUUCAAGCUAUAGGAGCGGCCAGUGUCUGGUUAGCUAGUUGGUGAGGUAAAGGCUCGCCAAGGCGACGAUCAGUAGCUGGUCUGGGAGGACGAUCAGCCACACUGGGACUGAGACAGGGCCCAGACUCCUACGGUAGGCAGCAGUGGGGAAUUUUGGACAAUGGGGGCAACCCUGAUCCAGCAAUGCCGCGUGUGUGAAGAAGGCCUUCGGGUUGUAAAGCACUUUUGUCCGGAAAGAAAUCGCACUUACUAAUAUUAGGUGUGGAUGACGGUACCGGAAGAAUAAGGACCGGCUAACUACGUGCCAGCCGCCGCGGUAAGAC
rnacentral:rRNA from 1 species